AGUUCGGAUUGAAGGCUGAAAUUCGCCUUCAUGAAGCCGGAAUUGCUAGUAAUGGCAGGUCAGCAUACUGCCGUGAAUACGUUCCCGGGCCUUGUACACACCGCCCGUCACACCAUGAGAGCCGGGAACACCCGAAGUCCGUAGUCUAACCGCAAGGAGGACGCGGCCGAAGGUGGGUUUGGUAAUUGGGGUGAAGUCGUAACAAGGUACC
rnacentral:rRNA from 1 species